GACACACGAAAGACCGAUGCAGGUGGUUUUUCCUUUGUCGUGCAGACACACGAAAGACCGAUGCAGCCUUACCACUGACUGUUCCAGGAACUUCGCCUCUGCGACAGCAGAGAUAUUGGUGUUUCUUAGAUCACAGCUUCAAAACUAAGAUAUAUACCAACAGGUAUAUAUAGAGAGAGCGAUCCAUCCAUCCAUCUUCAACCACUUACUCCUUUUCAGGGUCACGGGGAACCUGGAGCCUAUCCCAGGGAGCAUCAGGCACAAGGCGGGGUACACCCUGGGCAGGGUGCUAGUCCAUCGCAGGGUACAAUCAUAUAAACACUCACACACCCAUUCAUACACUACGGACACUUUAGACACACCAAUCAGCCUACCAUGCAUGUCUUUGGACUGGAGGAAGAAACUGGAGUACCCGGAGGAAACCAUGCAAACAUGCAAACUCCACACACACAGGGCCCCAGCAGGACUUGAACCCCAGACCCUGGAGGUGUGAGGCAAACGUGCUAACCACUAAGCCACUGUGCGCCCCAGAGAGAGAUAAUAACGGUAAAACUAUUUGCUAACGGAAAGAGUCCGUUUCGAGGAAUAAACAAGUAAAGAGAGUACUUAUUAAGAAGCGCAAGAGGCGCAGUAUUUUUAUGGCAGAUUAUUAUCAAGUAGCAUGCCCCAUUGAGGAAUUCCAUCAUAUCAGCAGUACAUGAUAUAUUUGGCAAAUUUAACGCACAAGUAAAUUUUACUUAGAUAAAAAAUAAUAAUAAUAAUAAUAAUAAUUUUUAAAAAAAAAAAGAAGAAGGGAAGAGAAAACUGUAAGUCCUACCAAAUUACUGUAUGUGGACUCGCCCUCACAGGUAAACUCUUUCACAUUCUUAAGGUUUGCUCUAUUGAACCUAUAGGUUAUAUGAUAAAUUAAAUGUCUAGAGACUUGGCACACAUUUUGAACCUUUUCUGUCUGUGCACGAGAAUGCAUAUUCACUUGAUUUUCAUAGCAGGUUAAAUUGAUUAAAACUUUGAAAGUUAUAAAAUAAAAUAAGUAAAAAUAAAAAUAAAAUAAAAUAAAAUAAAAUAUGGGAAAAACAUAUAGCAAAGCACAUCCUGUGACAGGGUGCUCAUAUGUUGAUCCUAAUAUCAUGUUUAGCCUCAGACAGUUAGAACAACUGAAACUUAAUUUGGAGACAAAGGAGAGAGAGAGAGACCCCUAAAACAAAGAGCGAAGUGGAAACUGGAAGACAUUUGUGGAAUGGCAGAGUGAGGCACAUAAAAGAGAGAAAAAAUGUCAGGUAGGUCCCUCAUCUGUUUCUCAGUGUGCUAAAUUGAAGAAAGCCGAUCCCGACCUGGACACUGCCCCACUGCGACACCCACAGCCAGUAAGGAGGGAGGGAACUGCAGUUUCAGAGGCACCUCCUCACGAUGAAGCAGCCCAGCCUACGCCACUCUAUCAGAACCUGUUAGAACUGAGCCACCAACCCCCAUGGAACUAUGCGCCAGCCAUCCUAGCUUCACCGGUGGCGUUACACACGAGAUCCCAAGUGAAGGGACCAACAACAUUGCUGCCUGAGGGCUUCAGACCAACAAAAUCGGACAGAGAAGGGACACUGCACACCAUGGUGAAUGCCCCAAUGCUAGAAGUGGCCAGAGAAGGAGGCCCUACACUAGUUCACAGACCAUGGACAUUGGAAGACAUCAGGAGCAGCAUGACGCAUUUGCCGGCUCUCCGUAAAGUAGGAGGAUGAAAGUUUGGGGAUGAACUUCAGAUAUUCUGCAGAGAAUUCAGACCCACCACGCAUGAACUACGAUGACUGCUCAUGGCGAAACUUGGCACGGACUGGGUCAAGGUUUCAUGUGAAUUCCCAGAGAACGAUGUCCGCCUGAUCAACCUACAGUGGGGUGAUGGAGUCAACGCAAGGUACAGAGCACAAAUCACAGUGUUCCAGCAGAAGCUGGCGAACAACUUUCCUGUGCGAAUGGACAUGACAGAAAUAGCGAUGUGUAAACAACAAGACUCAGAGACUGUAUCACAGUACCUGUCCAGACUCACUGAGAUCCAUGACGCAAACUCAGGCUUGGAGAAACCCGACGCUCUGGCAGAUGGGCAGGCGGCCGUCACAGCAUGGGAGGCACAUCUCAGAAACAGCUUUAUGAACGGCAUGAAACCAGAAAUUGCCGCUAUAAUCAAACAACAAUGUAUCCCCUGGGAGACCAGAAACCUCACACAAGUGGAAAGGUAUGCAAUCCACACGGAGAAGUUCCUACGAGAGGCAAAGGAAAGAAAGAUGGAGAGGAGAGGAGAGGAAGACCAAAAGACCAAAAAAAUUCUUUCUGGAAAUGUGCAAGGUUAACCUGGAUGUAAUAUGUCAUGACAAGGGAAUGUUCCUGAACCUUGGGACAAGCCCCACACCCCUAGAGAUACACCUACAAUUGAAGAAGGUGCCUCUCAGGCUGUGGGCCCAAGGGAAACAUGACGUAGGCCUGAUUAAACCACGACCACCAGUCGUGAUCACACCCAAAUCUGACUUUAGGCCCAGACAAUCUCAAUACCCUCUUAAAUCAGAAGCUAUUGAGGGCAUUGGACCAGAUUUCAAUUCAUUAUUGAAGGCAGGGGUCAUUGUUCCCUGCCCUGAUUCGUCAGUGUGCACUCCAAUAUUUCCGGUAAAGAAAGCAAGAAAACCCCCACAACCUGAUGAAUGGAGAUUUGUACAAGAUUUGCAAGCGGUUAAUGCAGCAGUCAAACAGAGACCUCCAGACAUGCGAAAUUCUUACACUAUAUUAAGCCAGGUUCCAGCAAAUAGCGAAUGGUUUUCAGUCGUAGAUUUAGCUAAUGCGUUUUCUCAGUAUAUCUCUUGAUAAAGACAGUUUCGGUUUGCAUUCAUAUUUGACGGACAUCGUUACACUUUCACUCGCUUGUGAUAAGGGUAUUGUGAGUCACUAACGAUAUACAACCAAAUGCUAAAGGACAGCUUAGCACCUCUACCACUUUCUCCAGGGCACAGUGUGAAACUGACACCAUUAAAUUGUUGCAGCAUCUUGCCAAAGAGGGACACAAAGCCAGUCUCUCCAAACUACAGUAUGUACAACAAGAAGUGAGAUUUCUUGGGUCAUGACAUUUCUGCAAAGGGAAAGAAACUCUCUGCUGAAAGAGUAACUGCAAUCCAGAAGAUUCCCAAGCCUCUGACGAAGAAACAAGUUCUUUCUACCCUAGGUAUGUGUUCGUAUCAGAGAUCUUUCAUUCUAAACUAUUCCAGUCUAGAAGCACCGCUCAGAGAGAUGGCAUAUGCACCAGGGUGGACAGCUCAUUCUCAGGUAAGUUGGAUCCAGUCGCUAGAGAGUUUCCCGUGUGUACGUGUAGUAGCAGCAGCUGAGAAAGCUGUGGUGGCAUCCAGAGACCUGGUAGGUUACUCAGAAUUGAUCCUCUUGGUUCCACAUGAGGUGUUGUUAUUCCAACUUGAACAGACAACCUUACACCUGUCCACCCAAUGGUGGCUGCACCAUAACACUAUACUACUAGACAUGCCGAAUGUCACUAUAAAACGAUGUACUGUCCUUAACCCUGCUACUCUUCUUCCAACAGAGGGAGACGGGGAACCACAUGAUUGUGUCGUACUGACUAACGAACUCUGCUCCCCUAGAGUCGACCUGAAGGAUGUUCCAUUGGAAAACCCAGAUUUGAUCCUUUUUGUGGAUGGGUCAGUGUCAUGUGACCCAGAGACAGGUAAAAAUCGAGUGGGCUAUGCAGUAGUGACCGCACACGAGACGGGUCUGUCAGGAAGUCUCCCCUCAAACCUUUCAGCACAAGCAGCUGAACUGUACACCCUCAUAGAGGCAUGAAGACAUGCUGAGGGACAGUCAGUAAAUAUCUACACAGACAGUAGAUAUGCCUUUGAGGUAGUACAUGAUUUGGGGACAAUUUGGAAACACAGGAACUUCCUGACGAGUUCAGGAACACACACAGCCCACCACAAACUAGUCUCUGAGCUGCUGGACGCAGUCCUACUCCCCAAAACUAUUGCAGUAUGCAAAUGUGAUGCACACACUAACAAAUUAGACCAUGUUUUCCUAGGAAACGCUCGAGCAGACAGUGCAGCAAAGCAAGCAGCUGCAGCUAUGGUCCCAAAACUCAAAAGAAAAUAACCACUCCUUCUUUACAGCUUUCAGACCUCCAAGCACGAGCUACGGACGAGGAAAAGGCUGUGUGGCACAAAGUAGGCUGCACGGUUGUUGACGGAGUUUGGCGAUGCCCCCCAGGGCUGUCCUUGUCUUCAAAGUUGACGCAUGGCAGGGACCAUGCGUCAAAAGUGGGAAUGAUAGCUGCGUUAAAGCAUUGGUUUCUCUAAUUACUCUAAAAAAAUAAAUAAUUUUUUUGUUUACACUGUUUAUGCAACUCAUAACAUGGGUUGAGGUUUGAAGGUAGAGAAGGCCACGUCCCUACGUCCAAAGAGGACUCAGACGCGGUAGUGAUAAUGAUAAUCUCCAGUGAUAAUGGCACACCUUUUGUGAGCCAUGCCCUUAAGUAGGUGGGUGAAUAUUUGGGUAUUGAAUUAAAGCAGCACUGUGCAUAUCAUCCAGCUAGUGGUGGGGUGGUAGAGAGAGAAACUGGGACACUGAAAAACAGAUUUAGGAAAUACUGUUCUGAAACAGGCUUGGGAUGGGCUUAGCCCCUUUGGGAUACUGUUUGGGAGACCUCCACACACAGGAAUUGGACCUGUGACAGCUCCUCUUCCCGACGCUGCAGCAUGUGAUGAUGCGUUGUUAAAUUACUGUGCAACCCUGUCCUCUGCUCUGCACUCUAUCCACAAGCAGGUAAAGGCAGCACUUCUAGCUCCAAACACUGGUCCGUUGCAUGAUCUGAAGCCCGGAGAGUGGAUCGUGAUCAAGGACUUCCGCAGGACCAGGUGGAACAAGCCAUGUUGGUCGGGGCCAUUCUAGAUCCUUUUUGUCACUCGCUCUGUGGUAAAGGUUAACCAGAGAGCCACAUGGAUGCGUGCCAGCCACUGUAGGAGGGUGCCAGAGCCAAGCAUUGAGCUGGAGAAGACGAGACUUCGACAGGAGGACUAGAAAGUGAUUCUCUAUCAAGAGGCCUCUAGGAGGACCUACGCUCACGAGCAACGAUCUGCAUAUACACACCCACACAACGUCACACGUCCCCUCGUCACACAGACACAUAAUGAUUAUUCUAUCAUUGAACACAUGCGGUCUGCGAUACGCAACUAGCGAGAUGGGGCUUGAUUGGCUGAACUCAGUACUCGGGGGAUGGGGCUCAUGGAUAUUAACCGUCUGUCUAUCAAUAGGUGCAAUAAUUCUUCAUCUUGCUCAUUUUGCCUUGUAUUGUCUCUCACGCUCGUUGGAAUCACUAAUGAUCAAACGCUGAUGUUGACAAAGACUGAUUACGAUCCCUAUGAUGACCAACCUGACUUGUAUCCUAAACCUGACUGGGUAUCAGGUCCUCCCAGUGACACUGACGAUGACGACCCAUUGACAUCCAUUUCACACCUAUUGUAAAUAUUCCUUUGACCAUGACGACUCUCAUUUCACCCUAAAUGAGCUUGCUUGACUACAGGAUACUUUAUAUCCACAAAAACAGCCUUAGUACCUCCAUUAUGUCUGUAUCAUGUUGAAUUCAGUUGAACCGUGAAAAGAUUCUGAAGUUCUGAUGUACUCAGCAUUGUAAUUUCUCUGUUAAUUUUAGUUAUCAUAUUUUGUAAUGAUGAAAUGGGGGAAAUGUGAGGGAAAUGACUCAUUUUUACUUUGUAAUAAGUUUGUUCUUGUUCUGUUUCAUUCUCAUGUGAGGAUAACGCCUAAGAAGGCCAUGUUAUGUCACUGAGAGCAGUACAAAAUGUUUAUCUGCUUACAGAGACACAAACAUGUUCUUCCUUUCAAGGUUCAUCUAAACAUCUUCGAAUAUUCUAAAAAAAAAGCCUGUUUGAACUGCCUCAAACUGCUUCUUAUGGGUACACAGAAUUAUGUCAUGCUCUGAGUUUCAUAUAUAUAGUAGUGGUUUAUUACAAGGGCGUCAGAGCGCUCUCGUUAUCCUAUCCUGCAUUAACCAUCUUUCUGUAAUAAACCUUUUUACACCUUUUA